GCCGAUAUAGCUCAACGGUAGAGCAACUGCCCUGUAAGCAGUAGGUUGCAGGUUCGAUUCCUGUUGUCGGCU
rnacentral:tRNA from 1 species